rnacentral:lncRNA from 1 species
GGUGCUCUUAGAGCAACAUUAUUGUUGGGACAAAAAUUAAGUCUCUUAGCAUUUUUUAUUAAUAUUUGAAGAUUAAGAGACAAAAUUAAGAUACAUGAGUAAAUGUGUAGAUUAUUGGUAGAUACUUUUAUUGUCUCUUAGGUGGGGGUAUUGGAUUUAGAAAUUUGAUAGAAUCAGAAGGAAUUAUAGUUUCCAUUAAAUUCCACUGUUAUUCAAUUAUGGAUUUCAUCAAUUCUUUUAAAUUCUUUUGUUAUUGGAUUAAGCAUUUGGAAUCAUUCUUUUAAUUACUUUAAAUUCUGUUGUUAUUCAAUAUUUGAUAGAUUUUGUAGUAAUGGUAUUUGAUAAGAAUUUAAUGGAAAAUGUCAUGUAUAAAUGUAAAGGGUCAAUUCUUUGCUCUUAUGCAGAGAUUUGUAAUGAAUCGUAAGAAAACACAAACAGUAGCAUUUCUCUACUUCUCAUUUUUCCAGAAGUACGUGAAGAAUGAAGAGACCUUUGUGGAUGAUAAUUAACGAGUUACCGGCAUAUAUAAAGAACAACAAUUAACAAAUAUAAAGUCAAUGUUGCCUUGUUGCUGAAGAAACCCAGUGUCUGUUAACCAAAUCAAGAUGCCUUCUGAGACUUUCGAUUGUGUGCUUUCGCACAUCGUUGUUAAGAGCCUUUACGAACACAAGAGCAAGAUAAAAAAUGCAAAUACUUGGAGAAAAACUAUGGCAGAACUUAGAAGAUAUGUGGAGAGAUGUUAUGGUUUAGAUGAUCCAUAUAUUUUAUUUAUUAGUAUUAUGAUUUUAAUAAAUUUGCUACAAUCCAUAAACUAUGUAGUACUAAUUACUAUUUUCUUUCAGUUUUAAGAAUAAAAUAAAUUUUGUUACCUUUUUAAAUACACAAGGAUUCAAUAGAAUUUAGAGGAAUUAGUAUUCUCUCAAAUUUAUGUAUAUUCUUUUAAAAUCCAUAAUUGAAGUAAGCAUAAGAAUUAGAUAAAUGCAUUAAAAUCUCAUCAAAUCUUUAAAAAUACUGCAAAAGCUUUUCCUUAGUAAAUUAAUUAUUUAUUUUCAUAAGUAAUAACAUAUAUAGAUGUGUUUAAAAUAAAACAUAUAACAUUAAAAUAGAAAACAUAAGAAAUUCACAAAGUUGAAAAAAAAAUUACAAUAAAAACAUUAAAAAAGAAAAAAUUCAACACAU